GCCUUCCAAAGUGCUGGGAUUAUAGGCAUGAGCCACCACACGCGGCCGAGUUCACCUUUUAAAAGAAGAAACUCAGAUUGUACCUGAAAUCAUCCAGCUCUAUACUGCUUUCACAAGGGACACAUGAUAAAUGGUUACAGAUCUAACCGGUUGGGUUAAGUGGGGACACAGCCAAACCAUAUCAGAAGGGGAGCAGAUGACACCAAGUUUGUGUUUUCUUAAUCCAGUCUGGCAUUGGGCAGGACUGUUACAGGUGGUAACAGCAAUCAUGGUACUUCUCCUCAAGCACGCUUCCUGGGCCUCCUUUCUCUACUGAACUCUUCCAAGAGCCAGUUUUUACAGGUGAGGAAACUGGAGUUCAAAGAGAAGAAGCAGCUUGCUCAGGGUAGCACAGAGCAAGUGGCAGUGCUGAGACUGGAACUCAGGCCUUUUCAGUCCUAGUCCUCAUUGCUUUCCACUGUGCUAAGUUGUCAACACGGCAGAUCAUAUAACAACUUAGAGGAACAGCAUCCAUUGUUUCGUUUUAUCUUCCCACCAGCUCUGAAAGCAAACAAAGUGGAUAUUAUUGUCCCCAUUAUACACAUGAGCAAACUGAGACUGAGAGAUCAGAAGUACCUCGGUUCAAGUGCAGCUGAGAGGGGCACAGAGUGAGAUGAGGUAUGUUCAGACACACAAGAGAGAAGCUUCAGAAUGUCUUUAAUAACCAGAACUCUCGGAUAACUGGAAUCGUGAGGACUAGAAGGGGAAAAGAAGCAAAUGGCAAGAAAACAAAUCUACCAAAAACAAAACAAAACAAGACAAAAAGCCUCUCACAUUCUCACAUUCAGCCAAGGAUUUUCUACCUUCUUCAUUAGUUUGUUCAUUCAUAAAACGGGAACACUGAAACACUCAUUUCUUUGGAUUUAGGAAGAAUUUUUCAGAAUUAUUAUUUUUGAGCUCCUCCUUUAUUACCCUUUUCAUUUUUCAUCUUUAGCCAGUGGUCCAUUUGGAUAUAAAUUAAACUAAUCUAGGACUAAAAACCUCACAUUGUAAGAUAUGGAAGUCAGAAUUAUUGUGCAGUUUGGUGUUUCCUAAGUAAUGAAGUAGUUGGGUCAUGGCGUGCUUUCCUGAUUCCCACAAACUGACCCUUGAGCUCACUCAUCAUGUACUCAGGAAUCUUUAUUCCAUCUUAAAGGAGAAAAAUGUUUGAAUGGAUGCUUUAUUUAUUGGUAUUUUUAACACAUAGAUGUUGCAACAUCUUUCAUUAAUUUGUCAGGAGCCCUUUGGAAGAGACUGAUCUAGUAACAUUUUAUAGAUGGGAAAAGAAAGACUCAUUCAAGUUAUCUAUUGCUGUUUAACAAACACUCCAAGACUUAGUGUCUUCUAAUAAAAAUCAUAUUAUUACAUCUACUAGUUAUCUGGGUUGAAUGGGUUCAGCUGGAUGGUUCUUCUGCAGCUGUGGUUGGAAUCAUCUGGAGGCCCCUGUCUGUUGCCUAAGGGUCUCUCCACAUGGUUUCUCCAUGUGACAGUGUAGCCAGAUUUCUUACAUAGUGGUUUGGGGCUCCCCAAAAAACAUAAAACGUGGAAAUUGUUCAAGAUUUAGACCCAGGACUGAACAGUGUCACUGUAGCUGUAUUCUGGUGGUUAAAACUAGUCACAGAGCUACUCAAAUUCAGUGUGAGAGGGAACCACAUAAAGGCAUAACGCCAGGAUGCGUGACUCAUCGGGAGCCAUCUUUAGAGACCAGCUCCCACAGCCCAGAAAGGGUAAGUGACUGGCCUAGUGUCACACAGCAAGUUAGUUGCCAAAACAGAAAAGAACCUUGUUUUGCAAAUAUCUAAAGUAUUGUCCUGUCCUCACUACUAUAUAUAUGUAAAAAUGACUUGGGAGCCCUACAAAUCCCUCAAUUAGAAAAAAAAAGAGAGAGAGAGAGAUUGCAGGUUUUUCCAUGUGUCUGGAAAUUCUGUUGCUCAGUAUACUAAUUGAGAGCUUUUAAAUUAUAAUUUGUAGAAACCAGACUAAAAGAACAAAGAAUGUUUGUUGGCUCAUGUAACAAGAGCCCAACGGAUUGAGUAAGCUUCAGGCACUGCUAGAUCCAUGGGUUCAUGCAAUAAUAUUGGGAUGUAUUUCUUGCUAUCUUUUGGCUCUGUUCUCAUCUGUGUUGGUUUCAUUUUCAUAAAGGCCUUCUGCAUAUCAUGACCAAUGACUAUUUUGUUUCUGUAGCUUGAAAUUCUCAAAAAAUGUAGUUCUUUUUUCCUGUCUAUGCAUAGCAAUUCCCUGAGACCCACUUGCUCAUCCCUACGUGUGUGUGGAGAGUACUUGUGACUGGUAACCCCAUCAGUGGGGGAAGGGGCUCCUUCUCAAAGGAAAAUAUUCCAGGCAGACAGAAGAGGUAACAAAUGUUUACUAUACCCAGAGCCUUGUAUUCCUUGAAGAUUUGUUUCCAUAUGGAAGCAGUUGAAAACUGGUACCUGUGGGUUAAACUCUGAAUGUGUUUUGUCUGACUCAAAGAAUAUUUUAAUAUGUUCUUGGAACAGCAUUUAAAAAUCAGAAAAUAGUUUAUAAAAAUCUGGAUUUAUGGUUUCUCUUAAAAAAAAAAAAAAACAAAUCUGGCAGUUCUUGACCUUCCUGUUUUCCAAUUUCCUUAUCUGUUACAUGGAGAUAUUAAUAAUACCUAACUCGUAAGGUUGCUGUUCCAUGGUGAGCAGGUCUAUGCAAAUCUAUCUCUGAAGGCUGAGGAAGCUGAGAGGCCAAAAAAGGAGGCCGACAAAUCCAGUCUUGCAGAAGGAAAUUUCACAGGGACAUACAAACAGGAGCCGUAUCUCAGGUAGCCACAAGACCGUGGAUUCUCAUACCUGCCCUCCAGAAAGUAUUCUUAAUAUAUCAAGCUUUUAGCAUAAAACAUGUGCAGCUGAUCACGUCUUCACACUUUCUUGCCAAGGCUUGUGACCACUGGAGAGGCUGGAUAAGCAUCUUUAUGAAGGGUUAUCUAUACUACAGGUAUUUUAAAAGAUCUUACUGUAGAACAACUUGGUAUGUGGGGCCCAAAUAUCCGUCAUCAUGGUGGUUUCGCUUCAAGAUGCCCUCACUCUGGCCAUGCAACAGGGUGUUUUCCUACAGUUGUGAGGAUUACAUGAAAUGAUGUGUUUAAAGUGUCUUACAUUAUGCCUGGCACAAGGGGAUCAGUCAUGAAAUGGCAGUUACCCUUCUCAUAAUUUGCUAGAGAUUAUACAAUCUGGUGUGUUAACAAUACCUGGAGCUGUGUUGUGACUUUAGAUGAGGCAUGAACUCUCCAGUUUGCCGCAAUCCCCACCAUUCUUUGUUGUCUUACAUGCAGCCCGUGUUCCUCAUUGAUUUUAACUGGCAGCUCCCUGCUAUAUAGCAUUUCUUCUUAGUUUUCAUUAGCACUCUCACCUGGACCCUUGUACUACCCUUCCAACCUGGGGUUACUCUUGCUCUCUGGUUUCACUGCUAGGAAUAGAAACUGGAAGUAGCAUAGUUUCACUAAGUGAGAAAUGGUUGGGAUUUUCUUCUUAGCACAUAAAAAUAUAUGGAGAUUGACAAUCCAUUGUUGAUAUGGUAGGCUUACUGUCACCAAAGACCCAUUCUUCUUCUAUAUUUCUGUCCUACUAUGUCGGUGUGUAGCUUGCAUCCUCAUGGUUACCCCCAACCAUGUUCCAAGAUGGCUGCUGAAGCUCCAGUCAUCACACUUGCAUUCCAGGCAAGAGGCCGCCCCCCACCUCUACUGCCCUUGUGUGCCUCUGUGUCUUUGCUGGGUGGCCUGACGUUUGGUUAUGAACUGGCAGUCAUAUCAGGUGCCCUGCUGCCACUGCAGCUUGACUUUGGGCUAAGCUGCUUGGAGCAGGAGUUCCUGGUGGGCAGCCUGCUUCUGGGAGCUCUCCUUGCCUCCCUGGUUGGUGGCUUCCUCAUUGACUGCUAUGGCAGGAAGCAAGCCAUCCUCGGGAGCAACUUGGUGCUGCUGGCAGGCAGCCUGACCCUGGGCCUGGCUGGUUCCCUGACCUGGCUGGUCCUGGGCCGCUCUGUGGUUGGCUUCGCCAUUUCCCUCUCCUCCAUGGCCUGCUGUAUCUAUGUGUCAGAGCUCGUGGGACCACGGCAGCGGGGAGUGCUGGUGUCCCUCUAUGAGGCAGGAAUCACCGUGGGCAUCCUGCUCUCCUAUGCCCUCAACUACGCACUGGCUGGUACCCCCUGGGGAUGGAGACAUAUGUUCGGCUGGGCCACCGCACCUGCUCUCCUGCAGUCCCUCAGCCUCCUCUUCCUCCCUGCUGGUGCAGAUGAGACUGCAGCACACAAGGACCUCAUCCCACUCCAGGGAGGUGAGGCCCCCAAGCUGGGCCUGGGGAGGCCACGGUACUCCUUUCUGGACCUCUUCAGGGCACGGGAUAACAUGCGAGGCCGGACCACAGUGGGCCUGGGGCUGGUGCUCUUCCAGCAACUAACAGGGCAGCCCAACGUGCUAUGCUAUGCCUCCACCAUCUUCAGCUCUGUCGGCUUCCAUGGGGGAUCCUCAGCCAUGUUGGCUUCUGUGGGGCUUGGCGCAGUGAAGGUGGCAGCUACCCUGACCGCCAUGGGGCUGGUGGACCGUGCAGGCCGCAGGGCUCUGUUGCUAGCUGGCUGUGCCUUCAUGGCCCUGUCUGUCAGCGGCAUAGGCCUCGUCAGCUUUGCCGUGCCCAUGGACUCAGGCCCAAGCUGCCUGGCUGUGCCCAAUGCCACUGGGCAGAUGGGCCUCCCUGAAGACUCUGGCCUGCUGCGGGACUCCUCUCUACCUCCCAUGCCAAGGACCAAUGAGGACCAAAGGGAGCCAAUCUUGUCCACUGUUAAGAAAACCAAGCCCCAUCCCAGAUCUGGAGACCCCUCAGCCCCUCCUCAGCCGGCCCUGAGCUCUGCCCUCCCUGGGCCCCCUCUGCCCGCCCAGGGACAUGCACUGCUGCGCUGGACGGCGCUCCUCUGCCUGAUGGUCUUUGUCAGUGCCUUUUCCUUUGGGUUUGGGCCAGGCCCCAGGUCCCACCACAGCCCAGGAGCCCUCCUGCUCUCCCACCCUAGUGACCUGGCUUGUUCUCAGCGAGAUCUACCCUGUGGAGAUACGAGGAAGAGCCUUCGCCUUCUGCAACAGCUUCAACUGGGCAGCCAAUCUCUUCAUCAGCCUCUCCUUCCUUGAUCUCAUUGGCACCAUCGGCUUGUCCUGGACCUUCCUGCUCUACGGACUGACCGCUGUCCUCGGCCUGGGCUUCAUCUAUUUAUUUGUUCCUGAAACAAAAGGCCAGUCAUUGGCAGAGAUAGACCAGCAGUUCCAGAAGAGACGGUUUGCCCUGAGCUUUGGCCACAGGCAGAACUCCACUGGCAUCCAGUACAGCCGCAUUGAGGUCUCUGCAGCCUCCUGAGGAAUCCGUCUGCCUGGAAAUUCUGGGACCAUGGCUUUGGCAGACCGUCUCCAGCAUCCUGCUUCCUAGGCCCCAGGGCACAAGUUCCAGCUGGUCAUUUGGGAGUGGCCCCUGCCCCCAAAGGUGGUCUGUUUUUGCUGGGGUAAAAAGGAUGAAAGUCUGAGAAUGCCCAACUCUGAGGGUUUCUGAGGAUCUAGCUUCAUGCCUCAGUUUCCCCACUGACUUGCACAUCUCUGCAGUAUUUAUAAGAAGAAUAUUCUAUGAAGUCUUUGCUACACCAUGGACUUUCUCAAAGAAUCUCAAGGGUACCAAUCCUGGCAGGAAGUCUCUCCCGAUAUCACCCCUAAAUCCAAAUGAGGAUAUCAUCUUCUCUAACCUCUUUUUUCAACUGGCAUUUUGGGGAGGGGUAAAUCUCUUUUUUUACUCUUAUUUUUUUUGAGGCAGAGUCUCACCCUGUCGCCCAGGCUGACAUGAUCUCAGUUCACUGCAACCUCCACCUCCUGGGUUCAAGCAAUUCUUGUGCCUCAGCCUCCCAAGCAGGUGGGACUACAGGCGCAUGCCACCACGCCCAGCUAAUUUUUUGUAUUUUUAGUAGAGAUGGGGUUUUGCCAUGUUGGCCAGGCUGGUCUCGAACUCCUGAGCUCAAGUGAUCCUCCUGCCUUGGCCUCCCAAAGUGCUCGGAUUAUAGGCCUUUUGACUCUUUUAUCUGAGUUUUAUUCGACCCCUCUAAUUCUCUUACCCAGAAUAUUUAUCCUUUGCCAGCAACUCUGACUAGUUGAUAGGAGGCUUCAGCUCUAGUCCUUGGUCUGCUGGUGUCAUUGCUGUAUGAAUGACCAUGGGCCUCAGUUUCCCCACUUGUAUAAUGGGAAGCCUGGACAAGGUCAUUCUUAAGAUUUCUACUGACUCCAGUGAGCUGGAAUUCUAAAUGCUGGUCCAGGAGCUGUCUCCAGGAUGGCACAGGAUGGCUUUGCAGAAAGGAGAUAGGUUUGGAGGCCAACAAACCUGCUUAUCAAUAUUGCCUUUGCCUCUUGGCAGCAUUUGAACCUCGGUAAAAAACAACUCCCUGAACCCUCAGUUUUCUCAUCUGCAGAAUGGGGAUAAUUAUGUCUCAGGGGGUGUAUUUAGACCCUGUUUCCCUUCAGGAGGGUCCCCAGCUGGUCCAGGAACUGGGAAAUUUCUACUCAUCCUCCGUUACCCAGGUCCCUCCUCUGGACCCAGUAAAGGGUCAGGGUGAAUCAGACAGGGGACUGAGCAAGUAGCUAAGACUGGAGAUCACUUAAGGAAGGGACUGACAAGAAGCUCCCAGAUGCUGGGGAGAAUGAAGAGCUAAGAUAGGUCCUAGGUGCUGGAUGCUUUGUCAUUCAUACCUGCACACAUGGAUGCUGGCAGAGCCCCCAAGGACUCCGGUCCCUCGAGUUCUCCUGUCUUCUCCAUUCUAGAUGCUUCCGGUGGUGUGCUGGAGCUGGCUUUGCCGGCUUGUGAGAGCUGAUUGCUACACUUUCAGGAUUUUUGCAAGUGUAAACACAGCCAUUAUAAAAAAUUAAAUGACUUAAAUGUAUAAUUCAAUACAUUAUAUGAAAACAAAUAAUUAUACUCAAAACUCAUUACCUAAUUUUACUACGUUACUUUUAUCUGUGCUCUCGAGGCUAUUUAUAUAUAGUAACUCUUACAGAGAGACCUAGGGGAGAUACCGCACAUUUCUUCCUGAUUCUCCACUCAAUGACGUCACGUUAGUUUGUCUUUGGUUGGUUAACUGGCUGCGGGGAGUAUUUUUGUAUCACAAAGAUUAGAGAGGACUAUACAUCAGGGCUUGAUCUUGAUUUAUUGUUUUGUUGGUUUUCUAGACUUCAGAACAUGCUGGAUUAAAUGUCAGUAAUGCACAUUAAACUUUAAAGUAUGUCUUGUUUAUAGCCAAUACAGUGUGAAUAGCACCAAAAUAUGAAGAAACUGUUCUUCCAAUAGUCAGACACUAUUAUCCAUUUCAGCUGACAGCUUCUCGAAUCAUUGAAGAAACUGGAGUUCUGACAUUCAUCUUCAUUGUUUUACUUUUGUCUUCCUCACUAGUGUAAACAAAAAUUUCAAGCAGCAUUCAUGCCAAACUUCUACCCAUUCUUCAGCGUCUCGCUGUAGAGUAAUCAGUGAUUUUUAUUCGUAGUCUAACUUGGUCAAAUCAUGGCUAAAUCGCUGUGAUAGUUGGCUUUGGAUACAAGAGCUUGGCAAAAAAAAUUAGCAAAAGAUUCUAUAAGGAUUAAUUGGCUAUAUGGAGUUCAGGGUAAAGAGUGUUUACAAUAAAGAAUAUUUACAAUAAAGAGUUUAUUAUUAUUUGUAAAUUGUGUGCAACAAACAUAUCCUUUAUCUCUGUAAAAUUUAUACACAAAAAAAUUAACAAAAGAUUCUGGAAGAAUUAAUUGGCUGUAUGGAAUUUAGGAUAGAGUAUUUACAAUAAAGAGUAUUUACAAUAAA